GGGGUUUAGCUCAGUUGGUAGAGCACCUGCUUUGCACGCAGGGGGUCAGGAGUUCGAAUCUCCUAACCUCC
rnacentral:tRNA from 1 species